UACGUAGGGUGCAAGCGUUAAUCGGAAUUACUGGGCGUAAAGCGUGCGCAGGCGGUUAUAUAAGUCAGAUGUGAAAUCCCCGGGCUUAACCUGGGAACUGCAUUUGAAACUGGCAGGCUUGAGUCUUGUAGAGGGGGGUAGAAUUCCAGGUGUAGCGGUGAAAUGCGUAGAGAUCUGGAGGAACACCAGUGGCGAAGGCGGCUUCUUGGUCUGUAACUGACGCUGAGGCGCGAAAGCGUGGGGAGCAAACAGGAUUAGAUACCCUAGUAGU
rnacentral:rRNA from 1 species